GUUUAAUUCGAUGCAACGCGAAGAACCUUACCUGGUCUUGACAUCCACGGAAGUUUUCAGAGAUGAGAAUGUGCCUUCGGGAACCGUGAGACAGGUGCUGCAUGGCUGUCGUCAGCUCGUGUUGUGAAAUGUUGGGUUAAGUCCCGCAACGAGCGCAACCCUUAUCCUUUGUUGCCAGCGGUCCGGCCGGGAACUCAAAGGAGACUGCCAGUGAUAAACUGGAGGAAGGUGGGGAUGACGUCAAGUCAUCAUGGCCCUUACGACCAGGGCUACACACGUGCUACAAUGGCGCAUACAAAGAGAAGCGACCUCGCGAGAGCAAGCGGACCUCAUAAAGUGCGUCGUAGUCCGGAUUGGAGUCUGCAACUCGACUCCAUGAAGUCGGAAUCGCUAGUAAUCGUGGAUCAGAAUGCCACGGUGAAUACGUUCCCGGGCCUUGUACACACCGCCCGUCACACCAUGGGAGUGGGUUGCAAAAGAAGUAGGUAGCUUAACCUUCGGGAGGGCGCUUACCACUUUGUGAUUCAUGACUGGGGUGAAGUCGUAACAAGGUAACCGUAGGGGAACCUGCGGUUGGAUCACCUCCUUACCUUAAAGAAGC
rnacentral:rRNA from 1 species